rnacentral:rRNA from 1 species
UACGAAGGGGGCUAGCGUUGCUCGGAAUCACUGGGCGUAAAGCGCACGUAGGCGGAUUGCUAAGUCAGGGGUGAAAUCCUGGAGCUCAACUCCAGAACUGCCUUUGAUACUGGCGAUCUCGAGUCCGGGAGAGGUGAGUGGAACUGCGAGUGUAGAGGUGAAAUUCGUAGAUAUUCGCAAGAACACCAGUGGCGAAGGCGGCUCACUGGCCCGGUACUGACGCUGAGGUGCGAAAGCGUGGGAGCAACAGGAU